rnacentral:rRNA from 1 species
GAUGAACGCUGGCGGCGUGCCUAAUACAUGCAAGUCGAGCGAACGGACGAGAAGCUUGCUUCUCUGAUGUUAGCGGCGGACGGGUGAGUAACACGUGGAUAACCUACCUAUAAGACUGGGAUAACUUCGGGAAACCGGAGCUAAUACCGGAUAAUAUUUUGAACCGCAUGGUUCAAAAGUGAAAGACGGUCUUGCUGUCACUUAUAGAUGGAUCCGCGCUGCAUUAGCUAGUUGGUAAGGUAACGGCUUACCAAGGCAACGAUGCAUAGCCGACCUGAGAGGGUGAUCGGCCACACUGGAACUGAGACGCGGUCCAGACUCCUACGGGAGGCAGCAGUAGGGAAUCUUCCGCAAUGGGCGAAAGCCUGACGGAGCAACGCCGCGUGAGUGAUGAAGGUCUUCGGAUCGUAAAACUCUGUUAUUAGGGAAGAACAUAUGUGUAAGUAACUGUGCACAUCUUGACGGUACCUAAUCAGAAAGCCACGGCUAACUACGUGCCAGCAGCCGCGGUAAUACGUAGGUGGCAAGCGUUAUCCGGAAUUAUUGGGCGUAAAGCGCGCGUAGGCGGUUUUUUAAGUCUGAUGUGAAAGCCCACGGCUCAACCGUGGAGGGUCAUUGGAAACUGGAAAACUUGAGUGCAGAAGAGGAAAGUGGAAUUCCAUGUGUAGCGGUGAAAUGCGCAGAGAUAUGGAGGAACACCAGUGGCGAAGGCGACUUUCUGGUCUGUAACUGACGCUGAUGUGCGAAAGCGUGGGGAUCAAACAGG